rnacentral:rRNA from 1 species
CCUACGGGAGGCAGCAGUGAGGAAUAUUGGUCAAUGGACGAGAGUCUGAACCAGCCAAGUAGCGUGAAUGAUGACUGCCCUAUGGGUUGUAAACUUCUUUUAUAUGGGAAUAAAAUGUUCCACGUGUGGGAUUUUGUAUGUACCAUAUGAAUAAGGAUCGGCUAACUCCGUGCCAGCAGCCGCGGUAAUACGGAGGAUCCGAGCGUUAUCCGGAUUUAUUGGGUUUAAAGGGAGCGUAGGUGGAUUGUUAAGUCAGUUGUGAAAGUUUGCGGCUGAACCGUAAAAUUGCAGUUGAUACUGGCAGUCUUGAGUACAGUAGAGGUGGGCGGAAUUCGUGGUGUAGCGGUGAAAUGCUUAGAUAUCACGAAGAACACCGAUUGCGAAGGCAGCUCACUGGACUGCAACUGACACUGAGGCUCGAAAGUGUGGGGAUCAAACAGGAUUAGAUACCCGGGUAGUC